rnacentral:rRNA from 1 species
GGGUUGUGAGGUUAAGCGACUAAGCGUACACGGUGGAUGCCCUGGCAGUCAGAGGCGAUGAAGGGCGUGCUAAUCUGCGAUAAGCGCCGGUAAGGUGAUAUGAACCGUUAUAACCGGCGAUACCCGAAUGGGGAAACCCAGUGUGAUUCGUCACACUAUCAUUAACUGAAUCCAUAGGUUAAUGAGGCGAACCGGGGGAACUGAAACAUCUAAGUACCCCGAGGAAAAGAAAUCAACCGAGAUUCCCCCAGUAGCGGCGAGCGAACGGGGAGGAGCCCAGAGCCUGAAUCAGCAUGUGUGUUAGUGGAAGCGUCUGGAAAGGCGCGCGAUACAGGGUGACAGCCCCGUACACAAAAGCGCAUGUGCUGUGAGCUCGAUGAGUAGGGCGGGACACGUGGUAUCCUGUCUGAAUAUGGGGGGACCAUCCUCCAAGGCUAAAUACUCCUGACUGACCGAUAGUGAACCAGUACCGUGAGGGAAAGGCGAAAAGAACCCCGGCGAGGGGAGUGAAAAAGAACCUGAAACCGUGUACGUACAAGCAGUGGGAGCACCCUUUGGGUGUGACUGCGUACC